rnacentral:lncRNA from 1 species
CUUGGAUCCUAGCUGAGGGGGUAAAAAUAAAGUGUUUCCACUUCCAGCCAAUCCCAGGGAAGACAGGAGGGCACUCCUCCAAUGGGAUCCUGGAGCCGUCGGUAGCAGUGGCGGCCUGCAACCACCCGUAGCGCUCUGGCAGGCGGGAGGGACGCAUCUGGUGCAUUCGCGAGAUCCAGUUGCCGGUACCGGGAAUCUGCUUGCGCGAAGCAGUGGCGGCACCGACGGCCCGAGGUUCCCGGUCAGCAGGUUGCGGAGGAUCGUGCGGGUAGCAAAAGGAGGGCGAGUGCUCCUGCGGCCCCAGACAGCAACCAGGACACUCCAGUUCCCCAAAACUGCCUUCACCCACCAUCAACAACUAAUAACUUAGACUGUCCCUUCCCAGGCCCAGCAUCUGUAAAGAAAUUAGACUGUUCUGUUAG